rnacentral:lncRNA from 1 species
GUUUUGUUCCACUCCUUUUAAAGACUAUCUUUAUUGAAGGCUCUCACUUACUAAGCAUCCGGUAUUGUCCUCUGCGUGCCACGCAGGAGAUGUCAAGAUGCACAUGAGUGUGAGACAGUGAAAGAGUGCUGGAAGGACUUGCCACUGUAGCAGGUUGCCUAGCAUCCCCACCACGUCCAUCCUAAACGUGACCUCAUUUGGAAAUAGGGCAUCUGUCUAUCUAACUGGUUAGGACGAGGUCACAGUGGAGCCGUGGGUCCUUGAUCCCACGUGACUGUGUCUUGGUGAGAACUGAGAGGGGGUUUCUGCUGUCCAAGCCCCUCAGCGUGGACGGGUCCAGCAACCAGAGGAGGACACAAGGCAACUGUGUGCAUCCUCCAGGAAGCUAGAGACGGGGCCAAGAGACAGCCUUGGGAUGUGACAUCAGGAAGUCACAGGAGACUCUGAAGAGGGAACUGCCAGGAGUCAGUAAGAGGAAGAGCCCAACUCAGGAGCAGGAGCAGUGGUGGUGUGGAGCACUCUCUCCAAAGGCCACCACAAAAAAGAAAAAUGCAAGAAAAUGACAGAUGAAAGUUGGCAAAGGGAAGGCUUUGUCUAAAAUGGGAGCCCAGGCUCCUGUGCCCUGUGCCCUAGAGACAAUAGCAGGCACGACAGAGAACGGGUGGACGGCAUCGCAGGAAGGUCAG